UGUGAAGAGUUCUAAACGCAAUAA
rnacentral:siRNA from 1 species